CUCAUAGCGUAUACUAAUGUUGCUGCAGUUAAAAAGCUCGUAGUCGAAUUUCAGUUUGCUUAUACUUAACCUUUUAGGCUUAUGUAUUGGCUUACUUUAUGAUAGAAACAUUCAUGCUAUUUAUUUAGUGUGUUUUGGGACUGUCUCUUUUACUUUGAGAAAAUUAGAGUGUUCAAAGCAGGUAUUUGCCUGAAUAUUACUCUUGGAAUAAUAAUAUAGGACUUCAGUUCUAGUUUGUUGGUGAUCUAGGACCGAAGUAAUGAUAGAUAGGGACGGUUGGGGUCAUUCAUACUGCAAAGCGAGAGGUGAAAUUCUUGGACCUUUGUAUGAUGAACAACUGCGAAAGCAUUUGACUAGGACGUACCCGUUGAUCA
rnacentral:rRNA from 1 species